rnacentral:rRNA from 1 species
CCAGACUCCUACGGGAGGCAGCAGUGAGGAAUAUUGGUCAAUGGUCGGAAGACUGAACCAGCCAUGCCGCGUGCAGGAAGAAUGCCUUAUGGGUUGUAAACUGCUUUUAUAUGGGAAGAAUAAGGAGUACGCGUACUUUGAUGACGGUACCAUAUGAAUAAGCAUCGGCUAACUCCGUGCCAGCAGCCGCGGUAAUACGGAGGAUGCGAGCGUUAUUCGGAAUCAUUGGGUUUAAAGGGUCUGUAGGCGGGCUAUUAAGUCAGGGGUGAAAGGUUUCAGCUUAACUGAGAAAUUGCCUUUGAUACUGGUAGUCUUGAAUAUCUGUGAAGUUCUUGGAAUGUGUAGUGUAGCGGUGAAAUGCUUAGAUAUUACACAGAACACCGAUUGCGGAGGCAGGGGACUAACAGACGAUUGACGCUGAGAGACGAAAGCGUGGGGAGCGAACAGGAUUAGAUACCCUGGUAGUCCACGCUGUAAACGAUGGAUACUAGCUGUUUGGAGUAAUUUGAGUGGCUAAGCGAAAGUGAUAAGUAUCCCACCUGGGGAGUACGCACGCAAGUGUGAAACUCAAAGGAAUUGACGGGGGCCCGCACAAG